GGCCCGUUCGUCUAUCGGUAGGACGACAGCCCCUCAAGCUGUAAAGGCGGGUUCGAUUCCCGCACGGGUCA
rnacentral:tRNA from 1 species